UACGUAGGGGGCAAGCGUUGUCCGGAAUCAUUGGGCGUAAAGAGCGCGUAGGCGGCUUGUCGCGUCGUUCGUGAAAACCUGCAGCUCAACUGCAGGCUUGCGGUCGAUACGGGCAGGCUAGAGUUCGGUAGGGGAGACUGGAAUUCCUGGUGUAGCGGCGAAAUGCGCAGAUAUCAGGAGGAACACCGGUGGCGAAGGCGGGUCUCUGGGCCGAUACUGACGCCGAGGAGCGAAAGCGUGGGGAGCGAACAGG
rnacentral:rRNA from 1 species